CCCAGUGGCGAAGGCGGCUGUCUGGUCUGUACUGACGCUGAGGAAAGGGGGCGUGGGUAGCGAACAGGAUUAGAUACCCUGGAGAGGAGGCCGUAAACGAUGAAUGCUAAGUGUUGGAGGGUUUCCGCCCUUCAGUGCUGCAGCUAACGCAUCAAGAAAUCCGCAUGGGGGAGUACGACCGCAAGGUUGAAACUCAAAGGAAUUGACGGGGGCCCGCACAAGCGGUGGAGCAUGUGGUUUAAUUCGAAGCUACGCGAAGAACCUUACCAGGUCUUGACAUCUUCUGCCAAUCUCAGAGAUUAGACGUUCCCUUCGGGGACAGAGUGACAGGUGGUGCAUGGUUGUCGUCAGCUCGUGUCGUGAGAUGUUGGGUUAAGUCCCUUUUUUUAGCGCAACCCUUAUUAUUAGUUGCCAGCAUUAAGUUGGGCACUCUAGUGAGACUGCCGGUGACAAACCGGAGGAAGGUGGGGAUGACGUCAAAUCAUCAUGCCCCUUAUGACUUGG
rnacentral:rRNA from 1 species